GUGCUCACUUUGGCAUCACAAAUACUAAAAUUGGAAUGAUACACAGAAGAUUAGCAUGGCCCCCAGGCAAGGAUGAGAUGAAAAUUCGCGAAGGGUUUCACAGUAAA